ACCUAUUCACUGGUGGUGUGUAUGUGGUUGCGUGUGGCCAUUUAUGAGGUCGUGAAACUGAUUCUGGUAUGAGUUCAACAGUGAUUUUGCAUACUUAUUGCUCAUAGAUGAACUAAAGAAUUUUUAGGUGACCCAUAUCAUUAAGUGACCAAAUCAGUAAAUGAAAGUGAUAAUAGAAUAGUAAUAAUGAUGAAUGGGUAUGAAAGGAGUUGAAUAUGGAGUUGUGAAUGGACUAGGUAGUAGUGUGGUAUACUGAGAACAACAAAUGACCAAAAACUAGAGAGUAAAUAUUAAAUAAGAUUAAACUGAGACUAAUCCACAUCUUUCUGUAUGCUGUUUCUUUUCGUGUGGUGUGAAUAUGACCUGUAUUGGUCAGGGUGAUGUGUACUAGCUGACUAGUGAUUAGUCAACAGAGUAGACAAGAUAAUAGAGGGUCCGAGGGGAGUAAAUGUCCCAGAUGUGUGUUGUAUAUGAGACAAGAAGUGUGGCUGAGAAAUGAAGGCCCAAAAGGGCCGUGUCGGGUAUGCUAAGUGCAAACUGCGUGGCCCUCAUGGUCGAUGUGCGUGUGUUAUAAUAUGGUGAAAAUGCAAGUAUGCUAAAUGUGGAUCAUUUUAUUUAAUUUGCAUAAUUUAUUAUGGAGAUUGAAAUGAUUGAAAUUGGCUGAAAAAAUAGAAAAAGAUAGGGAAUCUGCAAGAGAGAAAAAAAAUCAAAAUCGAGAAGUUGCAGGUUGGAGUGGAAGCACGGAGUUGUUGCUAUAAAUCUUCAUGAUACAAGGGUACUAAGUUAGAGAAAUGGAUAGGUGCUGGGCUA
rnacentral:lncRNA from 1 species